ACGCUCGACACCUACGGAGGCAGCAGUGGGGAAUAUUGCACAAUGGGGGAAACCCUGAUGCAGCGACGCCGCGUGGAGGAAGAAGGUCUUCGGAUUGUAAACUCCUGUUGUUGGGGAAAAAGAGGAUGGUACCCAACAAGGAAGUGACGGCUAACUACGUGCCAGUAGCCGCGGUAAUCUGAGCGGGCUGGCAAGGC
rnacentral:rRNA from 1 species